GCCUGAGUGGUGCAAUAGUUAAGCACUCAGCUGCUAACUGAAAGUUUGGUGGUUCAAACCCACCCAGACA
rnacentral:tRNA from 1 species